CACCGAGGAGGAAACUCACACUAACACACACUCAUAGAAACGACACUCACACACACACACAUGCACACACACACACACAGACACACACACACACACACACACACACACAUAUAUAUAAGACAAACACAGACAGCCUGUUGUACACUCUCUCUCUGAUCAACACAGUGGCUGAUUGACACACUCUGGACUUUGGAUUGACCUCUUGAGGAUACAUCCCUCUGGACUUCGUAUCCCAUCAUGCAUCAGCGGAGCCUCUCGGAGCUCCAAAGGGUCUCCGGCACCUCGACCCCCCGGGACCGAGCCUCCGGCCGGUCUGCGCAGCAGUGCCACAGCUCCAGGCUGAGCAGGGGGGAGAACCUGCGCCUCUGCCCGCCGACGGGAGCCCUUCUGUGGGCGUGGCUGCUGCUGGGGGCCCUGGUGUUCCCCGGAGCCUGGAGCUUUUUGACGGAGGAUCAGGAGGAGCUGCUGGUGGAGCUGCACAACCACUACAGAGGAGUGGUGUCCCCCAGCGCCUCGGCCAUGCUGCCUCUGAGGUGGGACCCCAGUCUGAAGCUGAUCGCAGAAGGCUAUGCUGCCAAAUGCAUCUGGAACCACAACCCAGAGCUGGAGGACACGGGGGAGAACCUGUUCGUGGGGACCGGGCCUCUGGACCUCCGAGUGGCCCUGGAGAAGUGGUUCCUGGAACAUCUGGACUACGAAUACAACAACAACAGCUGUGAUGAAGACAAGAUGUGUGGACACUACACACAGAUGGUGUGGGCAGACACACACAGAGUGGGCUGUGCCUUUCAUCUGUGUAACCAAAUGGAAGGACUGGACUGGGAAAGAGUGUCCUUCCUGGUCUGUAACUACUACCCAGCGGGGAAUUAUGAAGGGGAGCGUCCAUAUGUAGAAGGAGACUGGUGUUCCAGAUGUCCAGAGAACCUGCAAAGAUGUGAGAACAACCUCUGUGUUGCUGAGGAGGAGGAAGAGGAGGAAACAGUGACUCCUCCCCCUGCGACCCCUGACCCAACAGACAACAACAAAAAUGAGGAGCAGAAGGAGGUUCCGCCACCUGUUUCUGACACCACCCCUGCUCCCAGAGCUCCCACUAUCACCUCCUCCUCCUCAGGAGACGCAGACGCCUCCACACCUCCAACUCCAGAUGCCCCCACCCCAGAGCCAUCCUCCACAGGAAAGGGAGAGGAGGUGAAGGAGGUGGAGGAGGAGACGAAGGAGGUGAAGGAGGAGGAGACUAAGGAGGUGAAAGAGGAGACAAAGGAGGUGGAGGAGGACAUGGGGAGAAAGAUGGACAAAGAGUGGAGCAAAGGACAGAAAAAUAAGAUGGAGGAAAAAAGUAGAGGUGUGAAGGAGGCGCAUGACAGAGGACAGACAUCUGCACCUCCUCUGCUGUUAGUGUGUCUGAGUGGACUCCUCACCCUGAUGCCAUAACGACCAGAAGGAGGAGACCAGGAGAAGGAGACUAUACCAUGAUGACCCGGAGGAGGAGACCAUACCAUGAUGACCAGGAGGAGGAGACCAGAAGGAGGAGACCAGAAGGAGGAGACCAGAAGGAGGAGACUAUACCAUGAUGACCAGGAGGAGGAGACCAGAAGGAGGAGACUAUACCAUGACCUCACUGCUCCACAUUGACUCCGCCCACUAACACUGAUUUGCCUUCCCCUCAUUUACAUGGUUCCUUGUUUCUGUUUCCUCAUUUCCUUGUUGUCAGACGGUGUUGGGUGGACCAUGUUUCCCUGUUUCCUCCUCCAUUUCCUACCUGUUUCCUCCUCCUCUUCUUCCCCAGUUUCCUCCUCCGUUUCCUCCCUCGUUUCCUCCUCCUCCGUUUCCUCCUGCGUUUCCUCUCAUAUUCCUCC